rnacentral:rRNA from 1 species
GUGCCAGCAGCCGCGGUAAUACGUAGGUGGCAAGCGUUAUCCGGAAUUAUUGGGCGUAAAGCGCGCGUAGGCGGUUUUUUAAGUCUGAUGUGAAAGCCCACGGCUCAACCGUGGAGGGUCAUUGGAAACUGGAAAACUUGAGUGCAGAAGAGGAAAGUGGAAUUCCAUGUGUAGCGGUGAAAUGCGCAGAGAUAUGGAGGAACACCAGUGGCGAAGGCGACUUUCUGGUCUGUAACUGACGCUGAUGUGCGAAAGCGUGGGGAUCAAACAGGAUUAGAUACCCUGGUAGUCCACGCCGUAAACGAUGAGUGCUAAGUGUUAGGGGGGUUCCGCCCCCUUAGUGCUGCAGCUAACGCAUUAAGCACUCCGCCUGGGGAGUACGACCGCAAGGUUGAAACUCAAAUGAAUUGACGGGA